CAAUAGCGUAUAUUAAAGUUGUUGCAGUUAAAAGCUCGUAGUUGGAUUUCUGGCCGAGUGUCCCAGCCAGGCCAGUGCAUCGUUUGGUCCUGGGCGCUCUGCCAUCCUUCUGUCAACCUUCGCCUCGUUCGUUCGUGGCGUUGGGCUCAGAUAUUUUACCUUGAGAAAAUUAGAGUGUUUCAGGCAGGCUUUCGCCGGAAUACAUUAGCAUGGAAUAAUGGAAAAGGACUUCAACCUCUUCUGUUGGUCUGAGAGGCUGUAGUAAUGAUUAAUAGGGAUAGUUGGGGGCAUUAGUACUUAACUGUCAGAGGUGAAAUUCUCCGAUUUGUUAAAGACUAACUUAUGCGAAAGCAUUUGCCAAGGAUGUUUUCAUUAAUCAAGAACGAAAGUUAGGGGAUCGAAGACGAUUAGAUACCA
rnacentral:rRNA from 1 species